rnacentral:tRNA from 1 species
GCCGGAAUAGCUCAGUUGGGAGAGUGAUAGACUGAAGUUGAAAGCGCAACAAUCAUCUAAAGCCCCCCCCCCCCCCCCCCCCCGGUUCAAUCCCGGGUUCCGGCA